UGCUGGUCCUAUAUGGGUUUGAGAAAGCUAAUUAACCAUCAAAAGUGGAGCCAGUCAUAUAUCUUUCUUGCAUCUUUGGUUCUCGGAUUUGCCUGUGUAAUUCAUCAAGUGCAAGAGGCCUCCAAGUACAAGGCCCUUCACUGUCAUCAAAAACAGGAAGUCUUUGUUUGAAGAUUUAGAAGCACAUUACUAAUACAAGUAAGAGGUGUUAAGAAGCUUCACAUCUCAGGCAUUGAAAACUUCCAGAAUGCACAGUAUUAGUUGUGUCACCUAUGAAGCCAGAUUCCUCUGCUUCAACAAUUCUGUAGACAUGAGGAAGGCGAAUAUGGAUUUUUUGCAUCCAUGUACUGCUAAUAGAGUAACUGAGCUUCCCGGGUUUAAAGAUGAAGUUCUUAUCAACUUCAUUCAUGGUCUUUUGGAUGUAAAGGAAGUGAAUGGAAAAGAAAUUCAAAUUUCUUUUGGUACUCUAUACUGUAAACAAUGAGGAAUUAAAUGAGCAAUACCUGAUACCAACAAUAUCAUGAAACUCAUAAACUUAAAUAAAAAUACCAGUACAUAAAAAAAGGAUUGAUGAUAAAGACUUCAGAGUUCAGACCAAAGGCAAAAAAAAAAAAAAAAAGGAUACGUUUCAGAACGUUGAUGGAUGAAAUAGAUGGAAGCGCUUUACUCAAUGCAAUGCUAAGAUAAGCAAGGAGGCUGGAGGAGAGUUUAAUAUUUUUGAUGGGUCGGUGAUGGGUGCUUACUCUUGAGGAACCUGAACGUGGUCUUACCAUCGUCAAGCUAACGCAUGUGGAUGUUCCUGAAGAGGACAGUGGCAGUCCAUCACAUCCAACAGCAAAUGAAGCUUCCACUAACACAAAAGAGAACUUCCAAGCAGAUGAACUAAUGGAUGACACUGAUGAAGAUCUCAUGUAAUGAUUGGUUCGAACUUUGAAUGUAUAAUAAUUUGCUAAGACCUAACCAUAUUUGUCAGUUGUAUAUAAACAUCUUGGGUGCAACAUUUUUCGUUUGGUCAAUAGAAUAUCAAAAUUUUUGAGCACUAUAAAAUGUGAAUGACAAGUUUGGUUAAAACACCCGCUCUUGCUCAAAAACUUCAUUC